GUGCUUGCUUCGGCAGCACAUAUACUGAAAUUGGAACGAUACAGAGAAGAUUAGCAUGGCCUCUGUGCAAGGAUGACACGCAAAUUCGUGAAGUGUUCCAUAUAAAA
rnacentral:snRNA from 1 species